AACGUAGGACGCAAGCGUUAUCCGGAGUACUGGCGUAAAGCGCGGGCAGGCGGUUCGUUAAGUCUGAUGUGAAAGCCCACGGCUCAACCGUGGAGGGUCAUUGGAAACUGGGGGACUUGAGUGCAGAAGGAGGAAAGCGGAAUUCCACGUGUAGCGGAUGAAAUGCGUAGAGAUGUGGAGGAACACCAGUGGCGAAGGCGGCUUUCUGGUCUGUAACUGACGCUGAGGCGCGAAAGCGUGGGGAGCGAACAGG
rnacentral:rRNA from 1 species